ACAGUCGGAAGAAGGUGCGCUAUCGCCGCGAUGGGUACUGCUGGAAGAAGCGGAAGGAUGGCAAGACAACGCGCGAGGACCAUAUGAAACUGAAAGUACAAGGCACAGAAAAGUUAAUUAAACUACACUCGGACCGCGGACGGAAAAGAAGUGGAUAUUUAGUAGUGAUGAAAGGAAUUGCUGUUUGGUCGUUCUUUCUGGCUGGCGCAAGUUUAUAUGUACCUUGGCGUGCUACCCCUUCAGGAGGAGUAGUCAAUUUUUUCUUUACUUUGUUUUUUUUUUGGAAAAACUUUUGAAUUUUUGUUACGAGAUUUAUUAUUAUUUAAUAAAAAUGUGAUCUAUAAUAUGAAUUGAA